UACAGAGGGUGCAAGCGUUGCUCGGAAUCAUUGGGCGUAAAGGGUAGGUAGGUGGUCUCGUUUGUCUGGGGUCAAAUCCCAGGGCUCAACCCUGGACAGGCGGUGGAAACUACCAAGCUGGAGUACGGUAGGGGCAGAGGGAAUUUCCGGUGGAGCGGUGAAAUGCAUUGAGAUCGGAAAGAACACCAACGGCGAAAGCACUCGUGCUGGGCCGACACUGACACUGAGAGACGAAAGCUAGGGAGCAAAUGGG
rnacentral:rRNA from 1 species